UACGAAGGGGGCUAGCGUUGCUCGGAAUUACUGGGCGUAAAGGGAGCGUAGGCGGACUGUUAAGUUAGAGGUGAAAGCCCAGGGCUCAACCUUGGAAUUGCCUUUGAUACUGGCAGUCUUGAGUACGGAAGAGGUAUGUGGAACUCCGAGUGUAGAGGUGAAAUUCGUAGAUAUCGGGAGGAACACCGGUGGCGAAGGCGGCGAUCUGGGUCGAUACUGACGCUGAGGUGCGAAAGCGUGGGGAGCAAACAGG
rnacentral:rRNA from 1 species